UAUUCGCCCCCUGUGGUAUUGAUAAAGCUAGCUGGUAUUUGUAAGCUAAGGUCAUGGUGUUGUUUUUUUUGGUUAGGGUUAACCCAAAUGCUUUACAAUGUGUAUUACUGCAUAACCUAAUGUUACCAAAUGUACUCUUGUAGUAUGACCACUCUUCUACAGAAAACUUGGAUCAUAGAUAAGUUUUACAAAUCUUUGACUUUACAAUACAGGCUGGACGCCAAACUCUAACAUGGUGGCUUGGGUAAAACACUAGUCGUUUGUAGAACCUGUUUUUCUAACUAAGAUCCUUUUCAAACACCAGGAAGCGAGCCAGGAUCAGUGCAUCGACCAGACUCGGAUCCGUAGAGGCUUCCACACCCCGACGAUGAAGAUGGAGAGGGCAGAUGGAGGUGCUGGAGACCGGAGACCAUGGAGCAGAGAAGAUGGAACCUCAUCUACCCUGAAGAUCCCUGCUCCACCUGCUCCGCCUACACCGCCAACUACCCAAUCACUACUCAAAGAGCUUCACCCUCUGUGUGCCUGCUGCACACAACUCUAUACCCCCCUCACUUUGUGUAUGUUUGGACCAGUCUUAUCCUUUGAUUGGCCAAGUCUUUCAUUUGUCCCAACCAAGAACGUCUCUUUGAGCCCGGUUUAUGCACUGGGAUCAUCUGGGAUUCGUCAAGUCUCCCUUCCCCAAGAGCUUAUCUGUAACCAGAUCUAUCUGAAGCUAAUAUUAUCUGAAGCAAUUCCACACUUGUUGCUUCAUAGAUUUACUGUGUGGGUUUGUGUGUUGGGCUUUUGCCAGAAUUCCAUGGAAAUGUGCAAACUAUAAACAGGUUGCUUGCAUUGCAACUCUCUCCGUCAUUGUAUUACGUUAUGGAGUUGUGUUGUGACGUUCUUAGCGGGGAUGAGCGGUUCACUUUUGGGCGCGAUACUGAAUAUUAUUGGCAGAUCAGUGGGAAUUGAGUUAUGGUUGAAAGAGUAAAGUUCAGCCGCCGUGUGAUCGAUAAAGCCAAACAGGAUUGCAUGCAGAAAGUGGGUAGGCUUCCUUUUAUUAAGAAAAGAUCUCCCACUCAUUCCCUCCCAGUACCGCCUUCUGUGUCCUCAGUUUCUUAAACAGCUGUUCGCUAGGCUACUUGAUGCGCAGUGACAUUUGCAGUUCUGUUUUA